rnacentral:rRNA from 1 species
UGGGGAAUAUUGCACAAUGGGCGAAAGCCUGAUGCAGCAACGCCGCGUGAGUGAUGAAGGUCUUCGGAUUGUAAAGCUCUGUCUUUUGGGACGAUAAUGACGGUACCAAAGGAGGAAGCCACGGCUAACUACGUGCCAGCAGCCGCGGUAAUACGUAGGUGGCGAGCGUUGUCCGGAUUUACUGGGCGUAAAGGGUGCGUAGGCGGAUGUUUAAGUGAGAUGUGAAAUACCCGGGCUUAACUUGGGUGCUGCAUUUCAAACUGGAUAUCUAGAGUGCAGGAGAGGAGAAUGGAAUUCCUAGUGUAGCGGUGAAAUGCGUAGAGAUUAGGAAGAACACCAGUGGCGAAGGCGAUUCUCUGGACUGUAACUGACGCUGAGGCACGAAAGCGUGGGUAGCAAACAGGAUUAGAUACCCUGGGUAGUCCACG